UAGAUUUUAGUAAAAUAUUUUGAAAAUAUUUAAUAAGGUUAGAUCCUUUAUAUUAAU
rnacentral:tRNA from 1 species